AUUGAACGCUGGCGGCGUGCUUAACACAUGCAAGUCGAGACGGGCAGCAGGCCCGCAAGGGUGCUGGCGAGCGGCGGACGGGUGAGCAAUACAUAGGAAUUUUCCCAGAGGCGGGGGAUAGCCCGGCGAAAGCCGGAUUAAUACCGCAUGAUGUCGAAAGACCAAAGUAGGGGACCGUAAGGCCUUACACCUUUGGAUGAGCCUAUGUCCGAUUAGCUAGUUGGCGGGGUAACGGCCCACCAAGGCAACGAUCGGUAGCUGGUCUGAGAGGACGAUCAGCCACACCGGGAACUGAGACACGGUCCGGACUCCUACGGGAGGCAGCAGUGGGGAAUAUUGGACAAUGGGCGAAAGCCUGAUCCAGCGACGCCGCGUGGGUGAAGAAGGCCUGG
rnacentral:rRNA from 1 species